rnacentral:rRNA from 1 species
UACGGGGGGGGCAAGCGUUGUUCGGAAUUACUGGGCGUAAAGGGCGCGUAGGCGGCCUUCUAAGUCGAACGUGAAAUCCCCGGGCUCAACCCGGGAACUGCGUCCGAUACUGGGAGGCUUGAAUCCGGGAGAGGGAUGUGGAAUUCCAGGUGUAGCGGUGAAAUGCGUAGAUAUCUGGAGGAAUACCGGUGGCGAAGGCGGCAUCCUGGACCGGUAUUGACGCUGAGGCGCGAAAGCCAGGGGAGCAAACGGG